GCGUCCGUGGCUAAGCGGCUAAAGCGGUUCCCUGCAGAGGAACAAAUCGAGGGUUCGAGUCCCUCCGGGCGCU
rnacentral:tRNA from 1 species